CACUUCCUCAUGCUGACAUAUUUACUAGAGGGUAAAAUUAAUAACCUUCUAGUAAGAGUGGCAGUCGAAGGGAAGGG
rfam:Otolemur garnettii contig025088, whole genome shotgun sequence.